GUGGCUUAGACGGUAAAUAAUCUGCCCUCAGUGAGGGAGACACCAUGAUUCAGUCCCUGGGUCAGGAAGAACCCCUGGAGAAGGGAAUAGCUACCCACUCCAGUGUUCUCGCCUAGAAAUUUUCAUGGGCAGAGGAGCCUGGUGGGGUCACAAAGAGUCUGAGCAACGGAGUCUGAGUCAAGUCAGUUGAGUCUGAGUCAACUGAGCAACUAGCACACACACACACCAUAAGACAGGCCACUAUAAGGUUCUCACACACACACACACACACACCAUAAGACAGGCCACUAUAAGGUUCACACACACACACACCACACCAUAAGACAGGCCACUCUAAGGUUCACACACACACACACACCAUAAGACAGGCCACUAUAAGGUUCACACACACACACACACACACCAUAAGACAGGCCACUAUAAGGUUCUCACACACACACACACACCAUAAGACAGGCCACUAUAAAGUUCACACACACACAUGCACACCAUAAGACAAGGCCACUAUAAGGUUCACACACACACACACACACACACCAUAAGACAGGCCACUAUAAAGUUCACACACACACACACACAC
ensembl:lncRNA